rnacentral:rRNA from 1 species
CUGGCGGCGUGCUUAACACAUGCAAGUCGAACGGAAAGGCCCUGCUUUUGUGGGGUGCUCGAGUGGCGAACGGGUGAGUAACACGUGAGUAACCUGCCCUUGACUUUGGGAUAACUUCAGGAAACUGGGGCUAAUACCGGAUAGGAGCUCCUGCUGCAUGGUGGGGGUUGGAAAGUUUCGGCGGUUGGGGAUGGACUCGCGGCUUAUCAGCUUGUUGGUGGGGUAGUGGCUUACCAAGGCUUUGACGGGUAGCCGGCCUGAGAGGGUGACCGGCCACAUUGGGGCUGAGAUACGGCCCAGACUCCUACGGGAGGCAGCAGUGGGGAAUAUUGCACAAUGGGCGGAAGCCUGAUGCAGCAACGCCGCGUGCGGGAUGACGGCCUUCGGGUUGUAAACCGCUUUCGCCUGUGACGAAGCGUGAGUGACGGUAAUGGGUAAAGAAGCACCGGCUAACUACGUGCCAGCAGCCGCGGUGAUACGUAGGGUGCGAGCGUUGUCCGGAUUUAUUGGGCGUAAAGGGCUCGUAGGUGGUUGAUCGCGUCGGAAGUGUAAUCUUGGGGCUUAACCCUGAGCGUGCUUUCGAUACGGGUUGACUUGAGGAAGGUAGGGGAGAAUGGAAUUCCUGGUGGAGCGGUGGAAUGCGCAGAUAUCAGGAGGAACACCAGUGGCGAAGGCGGUUCUCUGGGCCUUUCCUGACGCUGAGGAGCGAAAGCGUGGGGAGCGAACAGGCUUAGAUACCCUGGUAGUCCACGCUGUAAACGGUGGGUACUAGGUGUGGGGUCCAUUCCACGGGUUCCGUGCCGUAGCUAACGCUUUAAGUACCCCGCCUGGGGAGUACGGCCGCAAGGCUAAAACUCAAAGGAAUUGACGGGGCCCCGCACAAGCGGCGGAGCAUGCGGAUUAAUUCGAUGCAACGCGUAGAACCUUACCUGGGUUUGACAUGGAUCGGGAGUGCUCAGAGAUGGGUGUGCCUCUUUUGGGGUCGGUUCACAGGUGGUGCAUGGCUGUCGUCAGCUCGUGUCGUGAGAUGUUGGGUUAAGUCCCGCAACGAGCGCAACCCUUGUUCACUGUUGCCAGCACGUUAUGGUGGGGACUCAGUGGAGACCGCCGGGGUCAACUCGGAGGAAGGUGGGGAUGACGUCAAGUCAUCAUGCCCCUUAUGUCCAGGGCUUCACGCAUGCUACAAUGGCUGGUACAGAGAGUGGCGAGCCUGUGAGGGUGAGCGAAUCUCGGAAAGCCGGUCUCAGUUCGGAUUGGGGUCUGCAACUCGACCUCAUGAAGUCGGAGUCGCUAGUAAUCGCAGAUCAGCAACGCUGCGGUGAAUACGUUCCCGGGGCUUGUACACACCGCCCGUCAAGUCAUGAAAGUUGGUAACACCCGAAGCCGGUGGCCUAACCGUUGUGGGGGAGCCGUCGAAGGUGGGACUGGUGAUUAGG